GGGAGUCUGAAUCUUUUCUGUUAUUCAUGCAAUGACCCAAUAUAUAGUUCAAGUGCCCUCACAAAUCCAAUGGAAUUUGCUUAUCCUGAGGCUGAUGCUCAAGCAUGAACAAGAAAAAUACAAAUAAGGUGUUUGAAUGCAAGGGCUGUUGCAGAAAUAACUUUAUUUGAUCAUUUCCAUUACACAAUAGCAUGUUUAUUAUAUACAAAGAGUGUCAAAGACCAUAUUCUUCACACUGAACAUGCAUCUACUACAUAAUUAUAUAAUUGCAGUGUAAGGAUGUAUCUUAAUGUAAUGUUACAUUCUGAUAUUCUGUCAUUCAUUUUGCAGGUAAAAUCAUUCACAGGUACCACAAGCCAUAUCACAAUGGAUCAAAAUGCUGAACAGCCAAAGCAAAAUCAUACCCAUCUGGCUACAAAGUCACAAUAAUAACUUGUCUGGAUAGCUUUAUCACUGCUAACAAAAUUAAUUAUUUCUAAUAAUUGAUAAUUCUUUAAUAAAGAGGUUGAACUAUGAACUGUCUCACCAUCAAAUAAUUCUGCAAUUAGACCAAAAAGAGAUUAUAUAAUUAAAAUGUUGUAAAAUAAAGUUUUCACUACAGACAAAAGAGUAAGAAAGUGAAGAAAGGAAAUGAG